CUUUUUUUUUUUUGCAAAGAGGGACAUAUUGAUUUAUUUCUACCGAUCAAGAAAACCAAAAUUUAAGAAUCUCCGCCGCCGAUUCUUCUCUCCGCUUCAAAUCCAAAACCUUCUCCGCCGAGUUCUUUUCCCUGCAAACUAGGAGUGUGCUGGUACCUGUUUUGUUUUCCGAUCAACGGCGCCGGCGAAGCAUGGAACCCUCCAACGUCUAUGUGGCUUCAAAUUCCACAGAAGUGGAGAUAGGAAGUAAAGAAAUUGUGAAAUAUCCGAGCUUGAUCUGUGCUCCAGUGAUGGCGGAUUCAAUAGACAUGAUGGUGUUUGAAACUUUUAAAGCACAAGAAUUGGGUGAUGACUUGGUUGAAUUUCGAUUAGAUUGGCUUAAGGAUUUUAACCCUCUUGAGGAAGACCAACAAUCUGCAUCCAUUUCUAUUAAAAAAGGUGUUUAUGGAUCUCCAGAGAGUGGGACAGUCUCUGCUAGAUGCUUUCAGGGACAGUCUUUCAGGGACAGUCUCUUUAGUGGGACAGUCUCUGCUAGAUGCUUUCUGGUUAGAAAUAAAUGAAAGACCACUCAAACGGCCGACUUUGGAUUUAUCAAAGCGAUCUAUUUCAAAUUCAGGCGAGAGUGGUAUUGUAGUACACAGAGAGAGAGAGAGAGAGCUCACUGUCGAGAUCUGUCUCUGCCACAACCAUGGUUUCAACCACUAAGUUCAAGUCCGUUGAUUUCUACAGAAAAUUCCCAAGCGAUUUGGCUGAGGCAUCUCUCUCUAGUGCUGGAUUAUCCAUUAGCUGUCCUUGCUAUGUUGUUUUUUUGGAAUGUUAUUUGGCAGUUAACACUAGCACAUCUGUAAUAGUUGAUAAAAACUCUGAUGGGGACUUCUUAUAUAUUGACAUCCACGGAGUUCUGAAAAGAACUUAGUUCUUUUUGCAGUGUGUGACUGCGUGGAGUUUAAACCUUUUGUAUAAUUGUGCAGAAACUCCUACAACUUCACAUGCUAAUGGUAGAAAGCAAGCAGACCAUGGAGAUGCACAACAACAAUGGAGGUUGUUGGCAUGAAGAGAGAGACAGACACACGUUCUCUGUUUGUGUGCUUGUGUGCUACUCAAUAUUGUUAUAAUAGACCAGCAAGAGCAGAGAUUGUGAGAGGAUAAGUGGUGGAGCACAUUGAGUGAUACGUCAGCAUAAGAUUUAGUAACUUGGCUAAGGCAUUUGAAGACAACAAGAAGAGUCUCUAGGUUCAUGUUUUUGUUGAUUGUGGCAGUUGUAAUGUUAGGUUAAGACUUCGGUUUGAGACUUGUAAUGUAUGUAGUGUAUUGUAGUUGGAAAUGCUCAACUACAAUAUGUAGUGUAUUAUUUGAAUUCAUAUAAUGAUGGAUAGCGAUUUAAUUUUUCAAUCAAGACUGAACUAUGAGCUUGAAUGUAUUA